CUUUUGCAAAUUUUUUACUUCUUUUACAACUGUUCAUCCAGGAUAUCCACAUCCACGCCUAAAUGUGUAAGUAGAAAGGACCUGCCCUGGGUUUGGAGUGAUUUGCCUCUGGCACUGGAGUAAACUCCCUGAGAUAUGAGGAGACUGCUAGUGAUAAAAGGAAAAUAAAUUAAUUACAAGUGACAAUGCUUUGCACCUCCUAAUGAAGAACUGAUAGAGAUAUCAUAUGAGUGAAGAAUUAAGCAGGAGCACUGCUAAGAGGACUUCAUGAGACACUACGGGCAAUACAUGCUACAAGACUAGAGAACUCCCCUCCCUUCUGCCUGUCCUGGAGGAUUCCUUUGCUGAAGAUUCAGCUUGUUCUAGCUUACAUGCAAAGUUUCAGAGGAAUUCUAGCACUUCUUUAAUUAACUAACACCUCUGUGAACUAGAAAGAUUAGGUUUUUCUGCCUCCUUCAAACCUGUUUUUCAUGUCUGUGGUUUAGCUCACCUCUUGCUGUAUUCUGUAACAGGGCGCUUCUCAAGAGGAGCUGGAAGUUAAUUACAUCUUCCAGCUUAAGUUAGAAGAUCAGCCUCACUGUUGUGCUCCAGGACAAAGAGAAAAUCUCUUUUUCAGAGUAAACCCUACAUUAUUUCCUUUUUCCUGUGAUUCUGGAGGAGUCCUUUUCAAGCUUUCCCCUUCAUUUGGGUGGAGCAUGAUAAGAUCAGUUCCUUCACCUGGCAUUUCUGGAGGUCCCCAAAAUUCCUACCAACCCAGCUGGUAUGACAAAGGGAAGGCCAUGUGCAAGAUUUGGAGGCUCCAUGGCACUAGAAAUACAGCCAGGAGAAAUACAUGUCAAGUCGCAGCCUUAUCUGUA